rnacentral:rRNA from 1 species
UUCCUACGGGGGGCAGCAGUGAGGAAUAUUGGUCAAUGGGAGAGAUCCUGAACCAGCCAAGCCGCGUGAGGGAAGACGGCCCUAUGGGUUGUAAACCUCUUUAGGCGGGGAGCAAUGCCGGGCACGUGUGCCCGGAGGGAGAGUACCCGCAGAAUAAGCAUCGGCUAACUCCGUGCCAGCAGCCGCGGUAAUACGGAGGAUGCGAGCGUUAUCCGGAUUUAUUGGGUUUAAAGGGUGCGUAGGCGGAUUUUUAAGUCGGCGGUAAAAUGUCCGGGCUCAACCCGGGCCGGCCGUUGAAACUGGGG